rnacentral:rRNA from 1 species
AACCUCCGCAAUGUGAGAAAUCGCGACGGGGGGAUCCCAAGUGCCAUUCUUAACGGGAUGGCUUUUCAUUAGUGUAAAGAGCUUUUGGAAUAAGGGCUGGGCAAGACCGGUGCCAGCCGCCGCGGUAACACCGGCAGCUCUAGUGGUAGCAGUUUUUAUUGGGCCUAAAGCGUCCGUAGCCGGUUUAAUAAGUCUCUGGUGAAAUCCUAUAGCUUAACUGUGGGAAUUGCUGGAGAUACUAUUAGACUUGAGACCGGGAGAGGUUAGAGGUACUCCCAGGGUAGAGGUGAAAUUCUGUAAUCCUGGGAGGACCGCCUGUUGCGAAGGCGUCUAACUGGAACGGUUCUGACGGUGAGGGACGAAAGUUAGGGGCGCGAACCGGAUUAGAUACCCGGGUAGUCCUAACUGUAAACGAUGCGGACUUGGUGUUGGGGUGGCUUUGAGCUGCUCCAGUGCCGAAGGGAAGCUGUUAAGUCCGCCGCCUGGGAAGUACGGUCGCAAGACUGAAACUUAAAGGAAUU